AUUACAAGUGGACACCUGAGUCAGCAGGACCUGGAAUCCCAGAUGAGAGAGCUUAUCUACACGACUCAGAUCUUGUUGUCACCCCCAUUAUUGACAAUCCAAAGGUGCAGAAAGCACUCUGACAAAUAAUGAAACAACCACCAUCGGUUAAAUUUGAUGCAAAAAUAUUGCAUCUACCAGCAUUUUCAGGUAGGAUCAUAAAGGAGUUAUCGAACAUGUAGACUGUCUGUAUACAGAUACGAAUAUGAAAUUUAUUCACAAAUGGAAUAUUUGUAUGUGAACAACUAAAUUUAUUUUGUCUUGACAAUUGGUUAUAUUCUUGGGUCAGUGUUAUGUGAAUUGUAAAUAAUCUGUAAUUCAUUUGUGCCAGCUGUUGACAUUUCUCAGCUGAGUCUGGGCUGCCCUGUCCUCUUGUGAGUGGGGAGGUUCCUGUAGAUCUGGGCAAGUUUUCCUGUAGAGUGGGU
rnacentral:lncRNA from 1 species